AUACCAUGAUGAGGACAUCUCCUGAGUAACUUCUAAAAUCUCUCACAUGCAUCACACAAGCUCUCAUCUUCAAGUUGAUGGAAAGAUGUGAUCUCGUUCCUCAACUU
rfam:Citrus sinensis cultivar Ridge Pineapple sweet orange scaffold00035_contig_54, whole genome shotgun sequence.